rnacentral:lncRNA from 1 species
CUAUUAAAUAUGAGGGCUUAAAAAUAUGUGUCUUCUUUUUCUUUUUUCUCAUGCAGGGAGCUGUACCCAAACAGUGCAGAACAAUUCAUCCAGGACCCCAGGGUUCAGGUCGAGAAAGAGCUGCAGGUGCCCUCAGGGUGCGGGAGAAGGAGAUCCUCAGGCGGCUGUCAGGAAGAGCAUGGGAGGAGCCUGAAGUCUCCUCAGAGCCUUCUGUAAGAACACAGAAUGAUACCACUUCAUGCAUUUUCACCACCAUUUCUGGAAGAUACUGUGAGUCUCAUGGUUACAUAUGACACAGACCUGUGUUCUGGACCAGAAGUCAGGACAAUGCCAUCUUUUACAAUGCCUUAGUGCUUAUUAGUCAGAAUUGGUUAAACUUAUGCUGCUGUAACAAAUUAUACCACAAUCUCAAUAGUGUUAACACACAAACAUCUAUUUGUCACUCAAGGAAUCAGAGAAGAAUGAAGAAUAAACCUAGAUCCAUGUCUCUUACCCUGAGAUAGAAUCACAUAAAGGGAAGAGUUAUAAUGUUGUAGUAGCAGAAUACCAGACAUAGUUUAACCAAGGGAGCAAGAUGUCAUAAGAAACCAAAUAUUUAUUAAUAUGAUGCACUUUUGUCAUUGUUAUGAAAAAAAGAGAAAGUUACCUUUAGUCUAACCAUGAGAAAGCAUCUGAUAAACCUAAUUUGUAAGAAUUAGGAAAAAUCAAAUGGAACUUUACAGAAUUUACAGAAAACAAGGCUGAAAAACUGUACAGAAAAAAGAUGCCAAUAAGAUGUGACAGUGAACCCCAUGUGGGACCCUGGGAUGGAUCUCAGACUGGAGAAAAGGCGGUGUGUAAAAACUUAUGAGCUACAAAUUCCAGUAGUUAGAGGUGCA